CCACUAUAUUUUCUGCCUAUUGGCCUGGAGUUUUCCGGGAGAAACAGUGCUACAGGAGAUGCUGAAAGGGUUGGGCCCAGAUCUCAAGGCCAAAGAGGACUUCAGGACUCUACUGAAACAGCAAGAGCAUCACAUGAAUCUCCUAAAGGAAGAACUGGCUCAUUUAUAUUCAGAGAUCAGCCUCAUGAAGCAGGUGAUACUGUCUUUUGUGAAAGUAAUUUUAUUUUUUAGUGAAGGCAAGAAUCCUGUGAAGACAUUGAAAGACUUUAGAAAGCAUAG